GAGAUAUUAGUAAAAGUGAUUACAUAACUUUGUCAAAGUUAAAUUAUAGAAUUUAAUCUAUAUAUCUUA
rnacentral:tRNA from 1 species